rnacentral:rRNA from 1 species
AUUGAACGCUGGCGGCAUGCCUUACACAUGCAAGUCGAACGGUAACAGGUCUUCGGAUGCUGACGAGUGGCGAACGGGUGAGUAAUACAUCGGAACGUGCCUAGUAGUGGGGGAUAACUACUCGAAAGAGUGGCUAAUACCGCAUGAGAUCUACGGAUGAAAGCAGGGGAUCGCAAGACCUUGUGCUACUAGAGCGGCCGAUGGCAGAUUAUGGAGUUGGUGGGAUAAAAGCUUAACAAGCCGACGAGCUGUAGCUGGUCUGAGAGGACGAUCAGCCACACUGGGACUGAGACACGGCCCAGACUCCUACGGGAGGCAGCAGUGGGGAAUUUUGGACAAUGGGCGCAAGCCUGAUCCAGCAAUGCCGCGUGCAGGAUGAAGGCCUUCGGGUUGUAAACUGCUUUUGUACGGAACGAAAAGCCCCGGGUUAAUACCCUGGGGUCAUGACGGUACCGUAAGAAUAAGCACCGGCUAACUACGUGCCAGCAGCCGCCGUAA